CCUACGGGGUGCAGCAGUGGGGGAUAUUGCACAAUGGGGGGAACCCUGAUGCAGCGACGCCGCGUGGGUGAAGGAGCGUUUCGGCGCGUAAAGCCCUAUCGGCAGGGAAGAAGAAGGACGGUACCUGACUAAGAAGCCCCGGCUAACUACGUGCCAGCAGCCGCGGUAAUACGUAGGGGGCAAGCGUUAUCCGGAUUUACUGGGUGUAAAGGGGGCGCAGACGGCAGCGCAAGCCAGGCGUGAAAGCCCGUGGCCCAACCCCGGGACUGCUCUUGGAACUGCGCGGCUGGAGGGCAGGAGGGGCAGGCGGAAUUCCUGGUGUAGCGGUGAAAUGCGUAGAUAUCAGGAGGAACACCGGUGGCGAAGGCGGCCGGCUGGACUGCGACUGACGUUGAGGCCCGAAAGCGUGGGGAGCAAACAGGAUUAGAGACCCCAGUAGUC
rnacentral:rRNA from 1 species